GCCACGAUGCACCCGGCGAUCAUUCCCAUCAGUGGCUUGUAGUACGCUUGGUUGGUCUGCUGAUUCUGCACCUGCAGCACAACAGUUGGUUAAUCGUCCUAUUCUGACAGCCAUUUCAUAGGAAUGUAUCAAGGGAAAUUCGGCAAACAAUUGCACGGCCUCACCUCACAGAAAAUAUUGACCAUAUGUUUGCCAGUGCCUACCACAAUCAGUCAAUCAAUCAAUCAAUCAAUCAAUCAAUCUAUUUUUGAUUCUUCUUUUACUGUCUUUUUGCUGCUAGGCCUCACAGAGAAAACUUCAUUCACAUCACUAUCUUCCCUAGUGGACCAUACAGUUACCAAUGCCUACCACAAUCAAUCAAUCAAUCAAUCAAUCAGUCUAUUUUUGAUUCUUCUUUUAUUGUUGGCAUAAUAAAUAUGAGUGCGGUGAUCCGCCGC